rnacentral:rRNA from 1 species
GAUGAACGCUGGCGGCGUGCCUAAAACAUGCAAGUCGAGCGAACGGACGAGGAGCUUGCUCCUCUGACGUUAGCGGCGGACGGGUGAGUAACACGUGGAUAACCUACCUAUAAGACUGGGAUAACUUCGGGAAACCGGAGCUAAUACCGGAUAAUAUAUUGAACCGCAUGGUUCAAUAGUGAAAGACGGUUUUGCUGUCACUUAUAGAUGGAUCCGCGCCGCAUUAGCUAGUUGGUAAGGUAACGGCUUACCAAGGCAACGAUGCGUAGCCGACCUGAGAGGGUGAUCGGCCACACUGGAACUGGGACACGGUCCAGACUCCUACGGGAGGCAGCAGUAGGGAAUCUUCCGCAAUGGGCGAAAGCUUGACGGAGCAACGCCGCGUGAGUGAUGAAGGUCUUCGGAUCGUAAAACUCUGUUAUUAGGGAAGAACAAAUGUGUAAGUAACUAUGCACGUCUUGACGGUACCUAAUCAGAAAGCCACGGCUAACUACGUG